UACGUAGGGCGCAAGCGUUAUCCGGAAUUAUUGGGCGUAAAGAGCUCGUAGGCGGUUUGUCGCGUCUGCCGUGAAAGUCCGGGGCUCAACUCCGGAUCUGCGGUGGGUACGGGCAGACUAGAGUGAUGUAGGGGAGACUGGAAUUCCUGGUGUAGCGGUGAAAUGCGCAGAUAUCAGGAGGAACACCCGUGGCUAAGGCGGUUCUCUAGUACGGUACUGACGCUGAGACGCGAAAGCGUGGGGAGCGAACAGG
rnacentral:rRNA from 1 species